GAGACUCUGUGCGCGUGCAUAUCAAUAAGCGGAGGAAAAGAAACUAACAAGGAUUCCCUUAGUAACGGCGAGUGAAGCGGGAAGAGCUCAAAUUUGAAAUCUUCAAGGUUUUACCUUGACGAAUUGUAGUUUAAAGAAGUGUUUUCUGUUGAAGUUUUGGUAAAAGUUCUUUGGAAUAGGACAUCAUAGAGGGUGAGAAUCCCGUAUUUGACCAUUAUUUCCAGCUGUGUGAUACACUUUCAAAGAGUCGGAUUGUUUGGGAAUGCAGUCCAAAAUGGGUGGUAAAUUUCAUCUAAAGCUAAAUAUUGGCGAGAGACCGAUAGCGAACAAGUACCGUGAGGGAAAGAUGAAAAGAACUUUGAAAAGAGAGUUAAACAGUACGUGAAAUUGUCAAAAGGGAAGCGUUUGACACCAGUGUUGUUUUUCCGAAAAUCAAUUACGAAUGUUUUGUUUUUAAGAAGUUAUGACUUCAUCGGCUUGCUUCUUUCUUUACGAAACUUUCUUAAUGCACUUUUCGGUUAACAAGUCAACAUCAAUUUCUUUUGUUGUAAAAGGGUAUGAGGAAGGUGGCUUUCUUUUCGGAGAAAGUGUUUAUAGCCUUGUACCUCUGCAAUCGGAGAGAUUGAGGUCUGCAGCGUAGAUCCUUCGGGGUUAGAUACAUUUGUGCUAAGUUAUAGCUUUUCAUAGACAACUUGUUGACUAUGUUUAGUCUUGUAGCUUACUCGCUUAUGCUAUUUUACCUACGCUUAGGAUGUUGAACUCUAUCACACACAG
rnacentral:rRNA from 1 species